rnacentral:rRNA from 1 species
UACGAAGGGGGCUAGCGUUGCUCGGAAUUACUGGGCUUAAAGGGUGCGUAGGCGGCGUGGUAAGUUGGGUGUGAAAUCCCUCGGCUCAACCGAGGAACUGCGCCCAAAACUACCAUGCUUGAGGAAGAUAGAGGUAAGCGGAACUUACGGUGGAGCGGUGAAAUGCGUUGAUAUCGUAAGGAACACCUGUGGCGAAAGCGGCUUACUGGGUCUUUUCUGACGCUGAUGCACGAAAGCCAGGGGAGCAAACGGG